UACGGGGGGGGCAAGCGUUGUUCGGAAUUACUGGGCGUAAAGGGCUCGUAGGCGGUCAACUAAGUCGGAUGUGAAAUCCCCAGGCUUAACCUGGGAACUGCAUCCGAUACUGGAUGGCUUGAAUCCGGGAGAGGGAUGCAGAAUUCCAGGUGUAGCGGUGAAAUGCGUAGAUAUCUGGAGGAAUACCGGUGGCGAAGGCGGCAUCCUGGACCGGCAUUGACGCUGAUGAGCGAAAGCCAGGGGAGCAAACGGG
rnacentral:rRNA from 1 species